rnacentral:piRNA from 1 species
UAUAAUCUGUUUGUCACUCAAGGAGCCACC